rnacentral:rRNA from 1 species
UACGAAGGGGGCGAGCGUUGUUCGGAAUUACUGGGCGUAAAGGGCGCGUAGGCGGCCGAGCAAGUUAGAUGUGAAAGUCCUGGGCUUAACCUGGGGACUGCGUUUGAUACUGCUUGGCUUGAAUUCGGGAGAGGAUAGCGGAAUUCCCAGUGUAGAGGUGAAAUUCGUAGAUAUUGGGAAGAACACCGGUGGCGAAGGCGGCUAUCUGGACCGACAUUGACGCUGAGGCGCGAAAGCGUGGGGAGCAAACAGG